rnacentral:tRNA from 1 species
GAGGGUGUAGCUCAGUGGUAGAGCACAUGCUUAACAUGCGUGAGGUCCUGGGUUCAAUCCCCAGUACCUCCA